ensembl:snRNA U6 U6 spliceosomal RNA
UUGUUUUUGCAGCACAUGUACUAAAAUUGGAAUGAUAUAAAGAAGAUAUUACCAGGGCUCAAUGCAAGGAUGACAUGUAAAUACAUGCAGUGUUUCAUAUUUUA